rnacentral:lncRNA from 1 species
CUAAUCAAAUCUAAUUCUUGAUUCUUUCAAGUAUUUUAUUACGGAUUUUAGUUGAACCCACAUAAAUUAUUGUUUUAUUCCUUAUAUAUUUGCAAACGUAUAAAAAUUCAUGAAUUGAAAUGAUUGCAGUACUCAUAUACCCACUCGAAAAGUAAGAAAUGAGAAUAACUAUAUAAUUUUAUAAAAGAAAAAAACAUGAUAACU